UAAACAUUCAUAUGGUACCAGAGUCAUUGUAAGCCCUUUUUUUUUUGCUAAAUAUGUUCCUAAUUGACACUUGAAUCAAGUAAAGCUUCAUGGAAUAAUCAACACUUUCAUAAUCACAAAGUUAUAUUCUUAAUUGACACUUUCAUCAACCGAAAUCUGAUAAUGUGAAUUAGCGAUGCCAUUCACACCGAGAGCUCAUCUGGUGUUCUAAUGCCUGAAACAAUGUUAGAAAUUAAAUGUUCUAAGUACAACGAAAGUUAUAGAAAUUCCCCUACUGAACGUUCAUGGGUUUCUAGACAUUACAUUUCUCACCCUAUCUUUCCGACUUUUUUGAAGAUGAACCUUAGCAACACAAAUACUUGCAGAGCAUAGACCACAUAUAUAUAACAACCACAACAUGAACAUCAACACACCGAAAGUAAUAAUGAAUCAAGAGGAUUAAGCACAUACCCAAACGUAUAUCAAGUUGUGGUUCAUUUAUGAGAAAUAUACGCAACUCAAUAUACUCAAGCAAAAGUAACUAAAUUAAUCCAAAUUUUUAUAAUUAAAAUUAGAUGUCUAAUUAAGAAAAUGCAUAUAAUUAUUUAAACAAAUGAAAAGGGAAUGUUAAUAAUUUAUUAUGGUUUUUUUGUAAAUAUUGUGCUUAGCCUAUGACAACCAGAAACAUAAAGUUGAAAUAUUCUUUGAGCAGAACUUUAUCUAGGAUCCACAUUUCUGACAUGAUAAUCCCGUUAAAAAAACUUAGUGAGACGUGGAUUGCUUGGAAAGUCUUGCAUCAAGCAGUUAUCAAUGAUACUUACACAGCCUCCCAGAUUCCGGAUUGAAGACUACCUUUAGUGUGUUGCGUUAACUUGAGAAGAGAAUCAUCAGCUACUCCAGAGCUGCUCUUGGGAAAUGGUAGUUGGAUUAUGAAACCAAUUCAAUCUCUCUAAAAUCAUCUGGUUCGAAACACCAACUGGUUUAUCAGACUCUAAAUCCAUCUGAUUAAGUCGGUCUAACUUUCAUACAAAAUGGGUCCCCAGGCAAAGUGACUUGCUGUUGCAACGUUGUAUAGCCUAUCUAUCUAUCUAUAUAUAUAAAAUCAUGUUUACUCUCUCCCGGUGCAGCCACAUAGGAUGCCACGUCAGAAACUCGGUUCCCGUACGCGCGACACGUGUCCCUGUAUUAUGAAACUCAUCGUUUCAUUUAUUCUGAAGUUUAAUGGACUUUCACGAGAGUCUUUGUUUUCGGUUAAUUGGACUGAAGAGAUAAGCAAAAGCUUAGCCCAUUUUUAUCGUCACCUUCCUCAAGAUGUCGGCACUAGAUUUCUAGGGUUCUUUGUGUGUUUUGAUUUUCAUUCAUCUCCGACAAUGGAGGGAGAUUCUAGAGAGUAAUUUGCGAUGAAUCGUCAUGUAAAUUCCUUGGAGCGAGAUGUUUCAGUGUCGUUUCGUCUCAUGUUCUUCUCCAGGGAAGCGUUACAGGCUGAAUUAAUUCAAUGCCAUUAAAGAGGUUCUUAAUUCCUUGACCCAUUUCAACCACAAUCUCUCAUUCAUUUCAUCUUCCUCUCUUCCAAGCGGUGCAUUUACAGCUAUAAAAAGAAUGGCGAAUGCAUCUCUCUCAAAAAAAAAAAACGAGGAUGAUACAGAGGAGUAAUCUGGGGUUAAGAGCGACGGUGAUAAAGAAAUUUUUGAUCUGAGACCUGAGCCAACUCUGAAGAAUCUAAAGAGGGUUAAUCAGAGCAUUAAGAGAUUGGGGCGGACCAGUAAAAAAAUGCAAAAAAGUCAAUGGAAAAUCCUCUAUACUUAGAUGAGAUCAUCAUCAUCAUCAUGUUCAAUAUCUCUAGAAGGGUAUUGUGAAACAUCCUUUCAAUGAGAAGUUAUUGCUAGCUGCUACAAGGAAGCUUGAAGAAACAUUAGCGAGGUUUGAACUCAUCUUCACUCUAAUUACAUGCAUUACAUAUGGUCAAAACUGCAUAUCUCCAGGAAAACUAUAAUUAUUUAUGUAAGAUAAACUCUUGGAUCCGUAUAAUGUUGUUUUUGUUAGUUAUCAAGAUUUCUCUAGCCUCCAGUUUUAAUGUUACUGUCUUCAGGUAAGUAAAAUUGAAAUUUGUUAUGUUUGAAGUAUUCAAUAUAGAAUCAAUCUCCCAGAAUGAAAAAUCUGAAUCUAUUUCUAUUUUCUACUACAACUUACGAGACAAACACCUUACUUGGGAGUGAGUAGCCAAUAACCUAAUCACCCAACAUAAUUAUUAACUCUGACGCUAUUAGGCAACCCAUUGUCUUUGCUUUGCUUUGGUAAGUCUAAUCUGACUUGCUUUGUGUGUGUUAAUAAUUUCUAAGCUGGUUAAACAAUAUUUGAAGAUAUUAUCAUGAAUUCUUUCAGGUACCAGUUGAUAAGAGUACCUUCUAGAGGCUUCCGUAAACUACAAAUUUGUAGAUUUGUUUGAAGUUGUUAGGAAGGUUGUGUUUGUUGAUUCAGUGAGCGACUAGGACAAGAUUUCAGAAAACCACACCAACAAGAUGUGACUCACCGAGAAACUCUAUGAAACACACUCAUUCCAUCUUUGAGCACAUGGCCUUCCUCUUAACACUCACCAAUUACAAUCUUUUGGAAGAGAAAUCCCGAGUUCCAUUGACAUGCUGUGAAUAGUUCCAAGACUUCCUCUCUCAAAUUAGUUUGGAGUUCUGAAAUAAAGUUAGGAGAGAACAAACAUUUGAUUAGUGAAUCGUCACCUAACCAAGUUUCUUUUCAAAUCAAUGUUCACAUUAAAAAUAUCUAAUGUAAAUGGUGACCACUUUCGGGUGUAUAUAUUAUUUCACAUUUAUGUUAAUUGAUUAGAAUUCAGUUUGGAGCGUUCAUC